UGGCCUGUAGCUCAAUGGUGAGAGCGACUGCCUUAUACGCAGCAGGUUGCCGGUUCAAAUCCGGCCAGGCCAACAA
rnacentral:tRNA from 1 species